GCCUGCAUAGCUCUAAUUACCCAGAUCAUUCAGAAAAACACAAAUACCCUUCUUUGGCUUGAAUCACCCAAGGAACUGUAGGGGUCCACUUCUUUAGCAGAUCUGGGCGUCUCCAGGAAAACUAGAAACCACCCGAGAUAGAGAGGCUUUUGUCUCCCAGAUGUUCUGGGCUGGUCCAUCCCUGGGGUUCCUCCUCUGCCUAGACACUGGAUGCUGCUCACUAAGAUAACCACACUUUCAUUAUCACUAUCAUUACUACCUCCUAAACCCGCUGCAAGCAAAAUACGAGCAGAAAACUAAGCGAAGCAUGGGAUAAGAAGGAACCCUCCCCCGUUUAGCCCUCUGAUGCAAAGCAUUUCCAUUUGAAACAUGUUAAGUGCCUACUACGGGCAGAACACAGUGCUAGGAGAGAUACGACACCCUCAUUCUGCAUAUACCGAGCAGUCUGAAAGACUGAAGGCUCCCUUAGCAAUGAAAUGGUCUGGCCUCCCCAACCCCUUCUGCAGUGAGGCAAGCGACCGCUGCAGCCCCAAACGACUGCCAGGAAGCAGGGGAGUUUGUAGCUUCUCUCGCCUAGGAGCUCCAGGGUGCACGACAGGUAGGCCCCCCAAACGCCUCGGGGCUGAAGGGGCAGGCAGGGAGCUCGCGGCAGCUCGGGCAAGCCGGGCGAGUGGAGCGCGCGGGCCGGGAUGGAACGCUCCCGGGAAGGCGCGAGCCCCGGGGCUCGGGCGAGGGGCGCGAGCCGAGGAGCUGAGAGAGCUGCAGCGACCGGGCUGGAAUCUAGACCCCGAGCCAGCUGGUGCAGAGCUCUAGGGAGAUAGAGAAGUGUGCAACCGAUGCUGCCUGGCCGCGAGCCUGGUGCCGGAGCUAGAGCGUGGGCGGUACCGCGGAGAGGCUUGGCUGGGUUGGGAACUGUCACAUGCGCACAGACCCUCCGUCGGGACAACGGCGGCGGCGCUCUUCUGCCCAGCUUCAAGAACCUCAGCCUCGGGAUUGGCUGAUCCUCGGGGGAGGGCGGGGUCAAUGGGCUCCGGGGCGGAGUCACUCUGCACACACGCCCUCCCCCACCCCCAGCUAGCUAGACUGUGCUCAGAAUUCUUCUGGCUCGGUUCCUUCGAACCCCAGAGGCUGUCUCACUAGGUAACGUAAAAGCCACUGGCAGUUUGCUUAUGUGAUGCAAUUUGAAUAGGGGUUGGGGUAGGGGGGGAAGAAAGGAAGGUGUAAGUGUAGGAACUUCGGCUAUUAAAAAUAUCACUUCCUGAAGCCUUUCCCAGGCAGUCUGAAAUUUCACCAUUCACUUCUUGAGAGUUGUAGACUUUUUUCUGUUUUAAUAGUUUUAAUAGUCUCUCUUACCCCCGUACCUGGAACUUUCUCUUUCUUUGUUUUAAGUCCCGACCAAAAUCUCACCUUGUAUACAGAAAGCCUUCCCCAAUCCCUCUUCAUUCAGGUGCUUUCCCUCUUUUAAUUAUUUCCAAUUUAUGGUUCGAUUUAUAAAUAUUUGUUUGCAUGUUGUCUCCCCCAUUAGAUUGUAAGCUCUUUGAGAGCACAUUGUCUUUUACCUCUUUUUGUAUCCCCAGCGCUUAGCACGUAGUAGUUGUUAAAUAUUUAUUGAAUUGCAUUAAUAAAUGCCCAGGACCACUGGGGAAAUUAUGCCA
ensembl:lncRNA